rnacentral:rRNA from 1 species
UUAAGUCAGAUGUAGAAACGGCCCGGGGACCUUUAACCGUACGGUAAGUUGCUAUUUAGUAAACGUGCGAGGCUAGAGUCUUGUAGAGGGGGGUAGGAAUUUCAGGUGUAGCGGUGAAAUGCGUAGAGAUCUGAAGGAAUACCAGUGGCGAAGGCGGCCCCCUGGACAAAGACUGACGCUCAGAUGCGAAAGCGUGGGGAGCAAACAGGAUUAGAUACCCUGGUAG